rnacentral:rRNA from 1 species
CCUACGGGAGGCAGCAGUGAGGAAUAUUGGUCAAUGGUCGGGAGACUGAACCAGCCAAGCCGCGUGAGGGAUGAAGGUACAGAGUAUCGUAAACCUCUUUUGUCAGGGAACAAAGGCGGGGACGUGUCCCCGGAUGAGUGUACCUGAAGAAAAAGCAUCGGCUAACUCCGUGCCAGCAGCCGCGGUAAUACGGAGGAUGCGAGCGUUAUCCGGAUUUAUUGGGUUUAAAGGGUGCGCAGGCGGUCUGUUAAGUCAGCGGUGAAAGGCCGGGGCUCAACCCCGGCCCGCCCGUUGAAACUGGCAGUCUCGAGUUGGAGAGAGGUAGGCGGAAUGCGCGGUGUAGCGGUGAAAUGCAUAGAUAUCGCGCAGAACUCCGAUUGCGAAGGCAGCAUGCCGGCUCCACACUGACGCUGAGGCACGAAAGCGUGGGUAUCGAACAGGAUUAGAUACCCUGGUAGUC